UGAAAGCUUAUUUACUUCACUCUCUCGUUUCUCCAAGUCCGACACACUCCUCUGUCCUCCACCGAAAAACCAGAUUAGGGCUUUUAUCCCUCCCUCUUGCGACCGCGACUCCGCCCCCGUUCCUUCUCCCCGUUCACGCUCCAUUUCCUGCACCUGAAUCUCUUUUAUCUGCUUGUGUUUGCUUGUUUCUCCGGUUGUUUCCUCUGGGCCUUUUGAGUUCCUCUCUCUGCUAAAGGUUGGAUUUUUCGGUGGUUAAUUUGAACAGUUUGUGACCUUCUCGUCGUGAUUUUUAUGUUCUGGAGGACCAAAAAGGUCAGCAGCCGCUUCUUCAGGGUUGGAGUUGGUACUUUGAGAAGCAUAAGGAGCUAUGCCGAUAUGUUGUUCUUCUGGAGUUAUGGUGAGGUUUGGAUUUGAUCGGCUGUAAUCUGAGUGCAGGAGGUUUAAGUUGUAGCUAAGAUAGGGGCGCUUUGUUGUGUGGCCGCAAGGCCACACGGUUCUCGUGCUACCAGUAGGGAGUGGUCAGUGGGAUGCAACGAACCAUUUUGGCCAACAAGCUCAAACUUUUCGCCACCCUUGUCAACAAGGCGGGACUAUCGAUUCCAUGCAGAAGGGUUUUCUUUUGGCUCUCUAGGUGAUGACAGAGUUGCACAUUAUGGAUCUUGUGUUUCAUUGAGUGAUAAAAGUUCCAGGGGUUGGGGGAGGAGUGAGUCAUUUGCCAAUCAUCAAUUCUCUGUAUCUGAUGGUGCUCUCUCGUUCACCGACAGCCCUUCUGAUAGCUUCAAAAACUACCAAUUGAGACACUCAGUUACACAAGGAGCUAGCAUUGAAGAAUACACCAGAGAUCCAUUGUCUGGGCCACUGGUGAUCCCACAGUUUGUGGAGGGGAAUCUAGGGCUUCCAUCCUUUAAUGGUUCCUUUUCCUCGUGUUCAGAUGGCAGCGAAUUUGAUGCUAUAUCAAAAUCUCAUGGUUCUGCUGGUUGCAGCUUCUCAAAUCAUCGAUUUUUCAUGCCAAAGGCCAUUCAUCCUCUAUCAGUUCCAGAUCACGAUGUAGGAGAACCUGGUGCCAUCCUCCAGAAGGAACCAGUGCUUUGGGAUAGCACCGACAACUUGCUUAUGGACAUAUGCGAACUGCUGGAGCCCAAAGCUCGUCCGCCUAAUAGUUCUUUGCAUGACUUAUCCAAAUGUGGACUAUGUGAGAGGCUGUUGUCCCAGAGAUCACCAUGGUGCUCCUGUCGGAUUGUCUGUAGUGGAGAUUUGCCAACAGCAAGUGUCCUGUCGUGCCGGCAUGUGUAUCAUUCUGAAUGCUUAGAGCAAACCACCCCCAAGGUAUCCAAACACGACCCGCCAUGCCCACUUUGUUCAAAGUCGGAUGAGAACACAUCUGAUCGCCGGGCUGUCUGCCGGAUGAGAAAUGGGAUUCCAAAGCUAAAAUCACCAGAGGAAGGGCCUUCAAGACUUUGGAGCUGUGCACAAGCGGGUGAUUGUGUAGAAGGUGUUUUACAUGCGCCAAAACAAAGUAGAAUGGCUUUGUUGAGUAAAAACCAUCUCAAGAGGCAGCUGUCUAUGAAAGUAAAUCUAACCAAGAAACAAAGUGAGAACCUCAAGAGAAGUGGGAUCCGAAGGCAAGUUGGAUGCUCAUCGUCAUCUUAGUCGUAUUCAUCGAUAGCAUCCCUAGUCGUUUGUUCAUCCAUCUGCAUUGUGCUGUCAGUUGUUCUGAUGGCCGCGGCCUAGGAAAUCAUUUAGCGAAGCGGUUAGAGUUUGAAUUAUCAGAAAAGCCUUUGUUAGACGAUGGCUAUGUGCUUACUCUUGCUCGUAACCUUGUAUCUUGUUGCAGGUGAGUAUUUCAUGCAGGAGUCUGCUUACUGCGGUGGCAUUUCUUUUGCUGUUGUUUACAUGAUAUGUUAUUUGUAUGAUUAAUGUUUAGGUUAAUAGAUUAAUAUGAUCCAGGCCGGAUCUAAAUAUAACAUCUUUUUUUAAAAUCUAGUAUUUUAUACGAAACUAAUUGUAUUUGAUAAUAUUAUUGUAAUGGUGAAUAUUAUUAUUCACUUAUUAAAUCAACCCUUAAUUUUAGUUA